rnacentral:lncRNA from 1 species
UCUUCUUUCCUUUGUUUCAGGUACCACAAAGAAGAAAGACCAGAAACUAAUUCACCUCAGUUUCAACCACAGAUGCCUUAACCCAGAAGAUGAAGACGAAAGCCUGAAAAAACCCUUAACCGUGUAUCUCUGUUUCUCUUCUCCUUCUCUCAUUAAUUAUCUCUGCUCUCUCUCAAAGUCUGCAACUCCAAAAAAGUUUUAUAUAUAGCUUUGAGUAAUCAUGUGGGCCUUAUACCCUAGCCCAACAUCAGUUUCUCUUGCACACUCUUGUAAACACACGUAUGG